rnacentral:rRNA from 1 species
GAUGAACGCUGGCGGCGUGCCUAAUACAUGCAAGUCGAGCGAAUGGAUUGAGAGCUUGCUCUUAUGAAGUUAGCGGCGGACGGGUGAGUAACACGUGGGUAACCUGCCCAUAAGACUGGGAUAACUCCGGGAAACCGGGGCUAAUACCGGAUAACAUUUUGAACCGCAUGGUUCGAAAUUGAAAGGCGGCUUCGGCUGUCACUUAUGGAUGGACCCGCGUCGCAUUAGCUAGUUAGUGAGGUAACGGCUCACCAAGGCAACGAUGCGUAGCCGACCUGAGAGGGUGAUCGGCCACACUGGGACUGAGGCACGGCCCAGACUCCUACGGGAGGCAGCAGUAGGGAAUCUUCCGCAAUGGACGAAAGUCUGACGGAGCAACGCCGCGUGAGUGAUGAAGGCUUUCGGGUCGUAAAACUCUGUUGUUAGGGAAGAACAAGUGCUAGUUGAAUAAGCUGGCACCUUGACGGUACCUAACCAGAAAGCCACGGCUAACUACGUGCCAGCAGCCGCCGCAG